rnacentral:lncRNA from 1 species
CUUGGAGUUUUCUGGGAGAGGCCUCUUCAAGGGCGUCCUUGAAGCCCAGCCAUGGAUGUCCCUGUGGUUGGGAAAGGGGAGCUCAGGGUAAUGGAGUAUCCUCAAGAACCUGCAGAUAUUACCUCCCUCCAGAACCGUGGUCUCAGCCCUGGCUGCAUAUUCCUUCAACGGGAGGGCUUUAGAAAUGCUGUGCCAGAGCUGCACCCCAGACCAACAAAAUCAGACUCUCCAGGAUGCGGCCAAGGCAUCAGUAUGUGGAAAGCUUUCAGGAAAACUGAGCAAAAUGAAAGCCAAUUCAAAGAAGAAGGAAUUAAGUACAUAAUUGUGCAGAUGAUACAUGGAAAUGGUAAGAAUGGUGACAAUGGGACGUAAGUGACUGAAAUUUGGGAUACAUUGGAUUAGAAGAAAAUAAGCCCCCAAGAAACCGGAAUAAGUCUGGAGGGCAGCAAGAGUGACUGUCCAGCUAAGAACCUCAUCAGCAAUACAAAACAUUGUCACAGAUGUUGAAACAGACCCUGAGGUUAAUGCAUUCUUUCCAACAUUAGGUCCUAAAACUUCUCCUGAAAAGCUACCUUAAAUCUAACUUUUGAAAGUGCACAAUAAAGGUGAAUUAAAUAAAAGCAACUUGAAAUUUUUAAAAAAAAAAAAAAAAAAAA